CUUCCCAGGAGGGAGAGCGGCCUAGGGGGCGGUGGUUGUGUGUUAUUCAUGGGUGCUGUGGUGUCGCAUGGAUGGCGCGUGUGAGCCGUGUGUGUGAGUGGACGCGUGAAUAUGAUUGUGCGUGGUGUGUGUAAGGCGAGUGCGCGCCCCCUGCGCUUCUCCCCCCGCCUACACGUUGAUCUUAUUUGAUCGGGUUGUGACCCCAGCCCCGCCAGGCCGACCCGAAAUGAAAAGCUCCCCUCCUGCGAAGCCCCCUCCUCGGGGCGGUGUGCAGCGAGGCCCCUUGGGUGGCGGCAGCGCCGCGGCCCCGGAGCCAGUCCUACGGGGCUCGGCGCUCAGAAGUGAUGAAUUGAUCAGAUAGACGAGGCUGGGCUUGUCCCGGGCCGCUGAUUAUCGAGGCGAUUCUGAUCUGA